GCUUGUCCUUCACGUUUUCCUGAGUGUGGCACGGGUUUUUGUAAGCCACCAUCUGAAUGCUAUCCAGUUGAGGGUGAGAUACGAAGAUCUGCUCAUAGCAUUCUAUAAAAUUGCAUUCUCUGGUCGACAACAGCAGAGCCAAGGGGUCAUUCUUUUUUCCUUUCCCCUCCUCUGUAAGGGAACGAGAGAGACAGACAAGCUCAGAGUCCACAUCUCUGGGCCGUGUGAGUAAUGCUUUCCUAUUUUAUCCAGGCACUGACAGAAACACCCCACGGAGGGCAAACAAUAAUAUAUAAUAAAUUAUAGAUGCCAGGAAAUUGAAGGACAUUACGCUUCCGCAUUUCUGCCUUCUAAUAGAGCAGCGGGGACGAGCCGCCCUUUUCGUCUGUCUGCUCGCGGACCGUUUGUUCCUUCACACCCACUGUGUCGGGGGUCACCUGCGCGGGACCUGGGCAGACAGCCUGUAAAAGCAGACAGCUGACCAGGGAAGGAAGACAGCAAAUCUGCACGCCCAUACCUGCCCCUGCCUCUGGGCCCCAGGUACAGGCCUCAGCAAAAGUCGUAUGUGAGGCAGCAAAUCUGACCUGAGACUAGACCGAGGUUCAUCAGCAAUCCAUCAUCCCUCCCACUCGCCUUGAACCCAUCAGCAGCGACGUCUUGCCAAUGAACAAAAGGACUACCCAGAGAAGCCCUUUCAACCUCGGUCGUCCUUUGCCCCUCAACUUUUACCCCUUAAAUCAACUACAAUCAUUCCGUUUUCACUGGCACCUUUCCUGAAAGGCGAAACAAUGUUGUCACCUCCUUCCAGAAACUCUUCCUUUAUCUCUCAUGACACUGAAUUACAGAAGCUUGACCUGCCUUCUCUUGAAGUUAGAGAUGGAACUCUUUCUCUGGUCGACCUUCCAUGUGAUUAAACUUCCAGUUUGAACCAAAUAAUUGAGUUCAGAGAGAAAAAAUAAGUCUCUCUCUGAGAUGGCCUUUCGAAGGUAACCUACCUCACUUUCAACUCUAGCGUAUCCACACUUACGCCUCUAUCUGCAACCUCCUACCCAUGCCUUCAUUCUCCCUAAAACAAGCUGGUGUUGGACUUCCUCUCCCCCACCUUCACCCCGGGCUUUCUUCCCUGCUGACCCUCCUCCUGUCUCUGCUGCCCACCCACCAGGGCAGCAGCUGCACAUUGGGAUCUCAAGCAUGCGCACUGCUGCUCGUCGUUGGACCCUGCCACUCUUUUUGCAUUUCUGAGUGAGUCAGAUGCCUCUGCCAACACCGUCACCACUUGGGUCUUUCUUGCUUCUCCGCCUAGCUCCCUCUUGCUUACUCUGGCUAACCAUCUUUUUUCUGUGUGUUCUGUGUUCUGCUCACCUAUCUCUUUCUUUCUUCAGCCAAAUUUGUUAGGUAAUCAUGGUUGGGCAAGGCAUGUGUUGGCAUGAGUUUGGGCUGAUGGGGUUUUCAUUUAAUCCUUAUGAUAUCCUUACGAUGUAGGGAGGGUGGAGAUCUUCACUGGCUCCCUUUAAAGAUGAUAAAAAUGGCCCUAGCCGGUUUGGCUCAGUGGAUAGAGCGUUGGCCUGUGGACUGAAGGGUCUCAGGUUCGAUUCUACACAAGGACACACGCCAGGGUUGCGGGCUCCAUCCCCAGUGGGGGGCGUGCAGGAGGCAGUGGAUCUAUCGUUCUCCCUCAUCUCAUUGAUGUUUCUCUCCCUCUCUCC